rnacentral:rRNA from 1 species
GACGAACGCUGGCGGCGUGCUUAACACAUGCAAGUCGAACGGAAAGGCCCUGCUUUUGUGGGGUGCUCGAGUGGCGAACGGGUGAGUAACACGUGAGUAACCUGCCCUUGACUUUGGGAUAACUUCAGGAAACUGGGGCUAAUACCGGAUAGGAGCUCCUGCUGCAUGGUGGGGGUUGGAAAGUUUCGGCGGUUGGGGAUGGACUCGCGGCUUAUCAGCUUGUUGGUGGGGUAGUGGCUUACCAAGGCUUUGACGGGUAGCCGGCCUGAAAGGGUGACCGGCCACAUUGGGACUGAGAUACGGCCCAGACUCCUACGGGAGGCAGCAGUGGGGAAUAUUGCACAAUGGGCGGAAGCCUGAUGCGGCAACGCCGCGUGCGGGAUGACGGCCUUCGGGUUGUAAACCGCUUUCGCCUGUGACGAAGCGUGAGUGACGGUAAUGGGUAAAGAAGCACCGGCUAACUACGUG